rnacentral:rRNA from 1 species
UUGCCAGCCCGCUCAAGAAACUCAAAUGAAUUGACGGGGGCCCGCACAAGCGGUGGAGCAUGUGGUUUAAUUCGAUGAUACGCGAGGAACCUUACCUGGGCUCAAAUGUAUGUUGACGUAUUCUGAAAGGGAUACUUCUUCGGACAAUAUACAAGGUGCUGCAUGGUUGUCGUCAGCUCGUGCCGUGAGGUGUCGGGUUAAGUCCCAUAACGAGCGCAACCCCUACCUUUAGUUGCCAUCAGGUUAAGCUGGGGACUCUAAAGGAACUGCCUACGCAAGUAGUGAGGAAGGCGGGGAUGACGUCAAAUCAGCACGGCCCUUACGUCCAGGGCUACACACGUGCUACAAUGGCCGAUACAGAGGGCAGCUACCUGGUGACAGGAUGCAAAUCUCCAAAGUCGGUCUCAGUUCGGAUCGGAGUCUGCAACCCGACUCCGUGAAGUUGGAUUCGCUAGUAAUCGCGCAUCAGCCAUGGCGCGGUGAAUACGUUCCCGGGCCUU